UCCUACCAGCACGAGCUGCUUUUACUGCUGUUGGUCACCUGUGAAAGGCGGUCUAAAGCGCUGGCGCUCGCUGUGAUUGGCUGCGCGGCCCGUCACUCAGCGGCUGUUGGCGGUGAUUGGGCGGAGCGGCGACAGUGGCGCCGAUAGUGAAACCACUUUGGAGGAGAAGGGAGGAGACGGAGCCGCUGUCGCUUCUCGCCCAGAGGGGCCGAUCGCGGCAUAGUAGCGAGAGCUUUGUGGCCGGUGCCGAGAGCCAAGGAGGCUGGAGCGUGCGUGUGGCGGCAGCGCUGCGUCCCCCCUGGCUGGCAGCAAUCCUUGAAGCGCGGACGGUGCCUGGCGGGACGGUGCCGGAGCUGCAGUGAGCGAUGAGGUUGGAUCCUGCCCUUGCCGACCCUUUGCCAGCACUAACGGGCGCUCCAGGGCCAGAAUCUCUGCACCACGUGCCGUUAGCCCCUGAAUCUGUGACUACUCUGUGGCAAGAGAACAACGGGUCCUACGUCACUGAAGGAGUCCAAGAGCAGCCCCUGGACGAAGCGGGCUCCCCCGGCAGAGUCGGGCGUGGGUCUGCUGUGUCGUCAGGCACGAAUGUGUGCGUGCUGAUAGGUGAACUGUGCAGACCCCGUCGAUGGCACCUCCGAGCGCUGGCUGUGAGCGCGGCCAUGAACAUCAUUCUGCUUGUUUGCAUUGCUGCAGGGGCARCGAGCUGGCGUAGCGACCCCCAAACUGCUGGCACUGCUGCCACUGUGCUGGGCUGCCAAGACGGCUGGAUCGGCUACCGCAGGAUCUGCUACUACAUCUCUUGGGAGAAGGGGAGCUGGGAGUCGAGCCAGCGCGCCUGCUCCUCGCUGGGGGCCUCGCUGGCUGUGCUGAAGCGGGA
rnacentral:lncRNA from 1 species